AACUCUUCUUCUGCCUCCCUCAACCACUGGGUGGCAUUCAUUCUAUGUUCUUCAAACCAGCCUCUCAUCAUACAAGCAAAGUACCAGUACUUGUCCCUGUGGACACACCAUGACUCUAACGCAGCAGCCCCUUAUAAAGCCACAACAUCUUUGGCUGGUGGGUCAGAGAGGCACCCUGCACAAGAACACCAUGAUGCCCUGCUCUCCUUUAGAAGCCACCUGCCUUUUCAUUUUUGUUUCAGCAUUUUU
rnacentral:lncRNA from 1 species